rnacentral:snoRNA from 2 species
CUCCUCUUAGGAUUGCACCUGGAGAGUUUCCAGUCUCAGCUAAGGGAGGGAGAAUCAAGCAGAGGCAUACCCAUUCCAUUCCUAGCUUGAGCAGUGGCUAGUGAGUGGAAGGCAAUCUGCUACAAGU